GGUUCGAUGGUGUAGUUGGUUAUCACGUCCGUCUCACAUGUACUGUACUGCUAUACACACGGGAGGUCCCCGGUUCGAGCCCGGGUCGAACCA